GGUCAAGUUAUUAAGGGUGCAGGGCGGAUGCCUUGGCACUAGGAGCCGAUGAAGGACGUGAUAAGCUGCGAUAAGCUUCGGGGAGUUGCACGUAAACUUUGAUCCGAAGAUUUCCGAAUGAGGAAACUCACUUAGAGUAAUGUCUAAGUAUCAUUAAGUGAAUACAUAGCUUAAUGAGGGGAACUCAGGGAACUGAAACAUCUAAGUACCUGAAGGAAGAGAAAGAAAUUCGAUUCCGUAAGUAGCGGCGAGCGAACGCGGAUUAGCCCAAACCAAUAAAGUUUUCUUUAUUGGGGUUGCGGACAUAUCAUAACGAAGAGGUAUCGUAAUUGAAGAGGUUUGGAAAGACCCACCACAGAAGGUAAUAGUCCUGUAUGUUAAACGAGAAGACUUCAGAUAUGAUCCAGAGUACCACGGGACACGUGAAACCCUGUGGGAAGCAGGAGGGACCACCCUCCAAGGCUAAAUACUACCUAGUGACCGAUAGCGUAUAGUACCGUGAGGGAAAGGUGAAAAGAACCCCGGGAGGGGAGUGAAAUAGAACCUGAAACCCUGCACUUACAAGCUGUGGAAGCACAUUUCUUGUGUGACCGCGUACUUUUUGUAGAACGGGCCAACGAGUUACGUUAAGUAGCAAGGUUAAGCACUUAAGGUGUGGAGCCGUAGCGAAAGCGAGUUUUAACUGAGCGUUCAGUUACUUGACGUAGACCCGAAACCGGGCGACCUACCCAUGAGCAGGAUGAAGCGAAAGUAAAAUUUCGUGGAGGUCCGAACCCACGAGCGUUGAAAAGCUCGGGGAUGACUUGUGGGUAGCGGUGAAAUUCCAAUCGAGCCCGGAGAUAGCUGGUUCUCCCCGAAAUAGCUUUAGGGCUAGCCUCAAGGUGAGAGAUACGGAGGUAGAGCACUGAAUGUCCUAGGGGGUAUUGCACCUACCGAAGACUAUCAAACUCCGAAUGCCGUCAUCUUAUACUUGGGAGUCAGACUGUGGGUGAUAAGAUUCAUAGUCGAAAGGGCAACAGCCCAGAUCGUCAGCUAAGGUCCCUAAAUGUAAGUUAAGUGGUAAAGGAUGUGGGAUUGCACAGACAACCAGGAUGUUGGCUUAGAAGCAGCCACUCAUUCAAAGAGUGCGUAAUAGCUCACUGGUCGAGUGAUCCUGCGCCGAAGAUUUCCGGGGCUAAAACUUACUACCGAAGCUACGGCAUCAGUAAUGAUGGGUAGGGGAGCUUCCCAUACGGGUUGAAGCAUGACCGUAAGGACAUGUGGACAGUAUGGGAGUGAGAAUGUUGGCAUGAGUAGCGAGAUGUGGGUGAGAAUCCCACAGGCCGUAAACCCAAGGUUUCCAGGGGAAGGUUCGUCCGCCCUGGGUUAGUCGGGACCUAAGCUGAGGCCGAAAGGCGUAGGUGAUGGACAACAGGUUGAUAUUCCUGUACUACCGAUAACCGUUUGAGAGAAGGGAUGACACAGUAGGAUAAGCUAAGCACACUGUUGGUUAUGUGUGCCCAAGCAUUGAGGCAGUCAAAGUAGGCAAAUCCGCUUUGAUAAUGCUGGGAUGUGAUGGGGAGCGAAAUUUAGUAGCGAAGUAGCUGAUUUCACACUGUCAAGAAAAGUCUCUAUCGAGGUUAAAGGUACCCGUACCGCAAACCGACACAGGUGGGUGAGGAGAGUAUCCUAAGGCCAGCGAGAGAACUGUUGUUAAGGAACUCGGCAAAAUGACCCCGUAACUUAGGGAUAAGGGGUGCCACCAUCAGGUGGCCGCAGAGAAUAGGCCCAAGCGACUGUUUACCAAAAACAUAGGUUUCUGCUAAGUCGCAAGACGAUGUAUAGGAGCUGACGCCUGCCCGGUGCUGGAAGGUUAAGGGGAUCUGUUAGAGCAAUCGAAGCAGUGAACUUAAGCCCCAGUAAACGGCGGCCGUAACUAUAACGGUCCUAAGGUAGCGAAAUUCCUUGUCGGGUAAGUUCCGACCCGCACGAAAGGCGUAACGAUUUGGGCACUGUCUCAACAACAGACUCGGUGAAAUUGUAAUUCCGGUGAAGAUGCCGGAUACCUGCGACAGGACGGAAAGACCCCAUGGAGCUUUACUGUAGCUUGACAUUGGGUUUUGGUACUACAUGUACAGGAUAGGUGGGAGGCUUUGAAACCAGGACGCCAGUUUUGGCGGAGCCAUCCUUGGGAUACCACCCUUGUAGUACUGGGACUCUAACCAUAGGCCAUGAAUCUGGUCUUGGGACACUGUCAGGUGGGCAGUUUGACUGGGGCGGUCGCCUCCCAAAAGGUAACGGAGGCGCUCAAAGGUUCUCUCAGUACGGUCGGAAAUCGUACGUAGAGUGUAAAGGCAAAAGAGAGCUUGAUUGCAAGACAUACAGGUCGAGCAAGGAUGAAAAUCGGACUUAGUGAUCCGGUGGUUCUGCGUGGAAGGGCCAUCGCUCAACGGAUAAAAGCUACCCUGGGGAUAACAGGCUUAUCUCCCCCAAGAGUCCACAUCGACGGGGAGGUUUGGCACCUCGAUGUCGGCUCAUCACAUCCUGGGGCUGUAGUAGGUCCCAAGGGUUGGGCUGUUCGCCCAUUAAAGUGGUACGCGAGCUGGGUUCAGAACGUCGUGAGACAGUUCGGUCCCUAUCCGUCGCAGGCGUAGGAAAUUUGAGAAGACCUGUCCUUAGUACGAGAGGACCGGGAUGGACGUACCUCUGGUGUACCAGUUGUUCUGCCAAGGGCAUGGCUGGGUAGCUAUGUACGGAAUGGAUAAGCGCUGAAAGCAUCUAAGCGCGAAGCCAACU
rnacentral:rRNA from 1 species